rnacentral:rRNA from 1 species
UACGUAGGGGGCAAGCGUUGUCCGGAUUUAUUGGGCGUAAAGAGCGUGUAGGCGGUUUGGUAGGUCCGUUGUGAAAACUCGAGGCUCAACCUCGAGACGCCGAUGGAAACCAUCAGACUAGAGUCCGGAAGAGGAGAGUGGAAUUCCUGGUGUAGCGGUGAAAUGCGCAGAUAUCAGGAGGAACACCGAUGGCGAAGGCAGAUCUCUGGGCCGUAACUGACGCUGAGGAGCGAAAGCGUGGGGAGCGAACAGG